rnacentral:rRNA from 1 species
AGAGUUUGAUUCUGGCUCAGGAUGAACGCUGGCGGCGUGCUUAACACAUGCAAGUCGAACGAAGCACUGAAGAAUGGAGAUUCGUCAAAGUUCUCUUUGACUGAGUGGCGAACGGGUGAGUAAUGCGUGAGCAACCUGCCCUUCAGAGGGGGACAACAGUUGGAAACGACUGCUAAUACCGCAUGACGUGUUCGGGAGGCAUCUCUUGGAUACCAAAGGAGAAAUCCGCUGAAGGAUGGGCUCACGUCUGAUUAGCUAGUUGGCGGGCAACGGCCCACCAAGGCGACGAUCAGUAGCCGGACUGAGAGGUUGAACGGCCACAUUGGGACUGAGAUACGGCCCAGACUCCUACGGGAGGCAGCAGUGGGGAAUAUUGGGCAAAUGGGCGAAAGCCUGACCCAGCAACGCCGCGUGAAGGAAGAAGGCCUUCGGGUUGUAAACUUCUUUUAACAGGGACGAAGAAGUGACGGUACCUGUUGAAUAAGCCACGGCUAACUACGUGCCAGCCGCCGC